CGAAAAAUGUAUCUCUCCUUCCGAGAAACUGUGAAAGGCAUACUUACAAAUAAGGAAUGCUUAAAAAAGGAAUAAAAAUAAUAUAAACUGGGGUUUUGUAUACGUUUUAACAUUAAAUAUCAGAUAAUAUUUUGAAAUGGUCAGCAAAUAAAUUCGAAGCUGAUGUGAUGCUUACUUUAUGCAAAAAAACCUAUUAUAAGAUUAAUGAUUACCUAAAUAAUAAAAAUGCCUGGUAUUAAAUGUGUUCCUUUAGUCAUUAAAUAACUUAUAAUGUAUAAUUUAAAAGAUGUGUUGCUGUUGCAGUUUCUUGACAUUUCUUCUCCUUCGCCAUAACACCUUGAGAAAUGACGUAGAUUCAAAAAUGUUAAAUUCACCUUCAACAAGUUUAUCCAUGAUAAUUACGUUGAAUAAAUUAUUCUGAUUUCGGUUUUAUCCGUUUGUAUAUAAAUGUAUCUAACUCUCUACAGCAAACUUAAGAAUAAUAAUAAUUUAUUUCAGUAAAAAAAUUAGUCUGACUACACAAUGAAAACAGUUUGUGAUGCCUAAACUAUGUAAGUGACUCUUCCUGUAACCUAGGCACAACUAUAUUAAAUGUAGUCGAAAUAUAAUUAUAUAUUUCAUACACAAGGUUACAUAAAUAUAUAAGAAGCAAUAUUAUAUUACACCUACUGUAAUAUUAACACAUAUUAGUAGUCAUGCAAUAUCAUGUACCCACUUUAGAACCCUGUCGCACUACCAAAUUUGACAUUUAAUGAGACUUACGGUUUAAUUUGUCAAAAAUGUUAACGUGACAUGGUUUCAAUGUGUAUACAUAUUAGUACUCGUGACCGUACAUGUAAAUUCCAAAGUAUGAGCGCUUUCUAGGUAAUUGUCUUAACUUUUUUGAGCAAUAUCCUCUGUUGGUUUUUGCGACAUGCCCGAAAAGAUAAGAAAAUAAAUAUUAAAUUUAAAAAAAUGCUACCUUUUCUAAUUCAUUUGAACAACCAAUUAAUUAUCUCGAAAAACUCUGAAUGGGGGUACGGUCGUUUCAUGGUCCGUUACAAUCAUUUAAAGUAGACGGUUACCAACAAAACGUCUCCUCUACUAAUGAAAUGGUAUAAUAAAAUUAUACUACCCUCAAAAGUCGAUAGCGGAGCCGUCAGAGAUUAAAAUUAGAAGUAUAAAACCCUCGAUUUUCCGGGUACCUAUUUCUCAGCCUUAUUUUUGACAUAGAAUAAGAAUGAUAUAAAUUACAUAUAGGCUGGUUUUUCGCUUCGCGGGUUCGAAGGUCAGAUAGGCAGUCGCUUCUGUAAAAAACCGGAUCUAUCAAAUCUUUAGGUUAGGUAAGUAGACCCUGUAAAAAACGGGAUAAUGCUAGGGAGAUGAUGAUAUAUUACUAUAGAAUGGUAACACUCCGUCCCACGUCAUUUCUUAUCGGGGCCGAGCUAGAAUUCAAAUUCAAAAAUAUCUUUAUUCCUACGUAACAUAGUUAAACUACUGCAGCUUCUUGUAACAAAAAACGAAUAGCCAGGUGGAAGAAAUAGGCAGUUUUGUACCACCAUUAAGCUAUAUAUUUUGAUGUAUUUCUUUUUGCUUUCUUUUCAUUAGUAAAUUUAAAAAAAUGUAUACAGUAUUAGUUAAAAAAUCCCAGAGAUCAUGGUUAUGACAAACAGACUUAUACCGCGAAUUGCCAUCCGCGAUAACCCCUAUGCACAUUCUAGUUAAUAAAUCAUUAACUCAAUUGAUAACUUGUCUCAGUAAGCGGUAAUAACAUGAUGUAUACUAAGAAUGCUUAUAUGCGCAGGAUUUCAUACACAAACAUCCGGAUUGAUAAACAACAUGCUUAUAAAAACAAUCGUAUUAAAGUAGACAGAACCACGAGUCGUAAAAGCAAAAGUUUCUAGUAAACCAAAUUCAAACAACUGCAGUUGGUUUUAUAAUUUACUUCUUUGUUUAUUUAAUAUUGACACAAAUAUAAAAAUAUAAAUUAUUCUUGCAUAUAAAGCGUAGUGUACCUUGGUAGUGAAAGCCAAAGUACCUAUUUUAUUCAAAAGUCUGAUCACCUGAUUGUCCGAAAGUAAGAUGAUCCGUGCUUCAGAGGGCACAUUACCGUUGGUCUCGGUUACUACUUACUAAUGUAAUUUAGUAGUCGUUACAUGAGCCAUGUUAGGGGCCUUAGGCGGCUCAAUAGUAACCCCGACACCAGGGUUGAUGGGAUUGGUAAUCCACCUCACAACCCACACGACAAAAGAAGUUAUUCACGAAAAUCGAAGUACAGUCGAGUUUUGUUUUUUCCUGUUUGUGCAAUAAAGUAUUUGUUAUGUUAUGUUACACCUAUAAGUAAUAACUUUUGCUAGAAAGAGUUACACUGGCGUUUGCUACGAAGAGAUUGCUAUUUAGCAAUAAGGCCGCUUAUUGUACUCUUUCUAUUUCUCUUUUGUUUUGUAGUUUGUGCAAUAAAGUAUUCGUUAUAUUAUGAUAGUAAUGAUGAAGGUGAUUAUUUAAGCCAGCAAUAGUUCAACUACAUUGUAUAGAAAGAAAAGACGAGAAAAGAAAAGAGAGAAGAAGAAAUAUGUUAUUAUUGCGAAAAGCAGAACCACUAUCAUGAGGGAAUAAUGCAAAGGAGAGAGAGAAAGAAUACAGAGCAAAGGUCAACAGUACAUAUAAGGUAUAUCGUCCAUGAUAACACAGUUAUAUCUAUCGGAAUCAGGUGCUGAAACAGCCACUGGUAAUCUUCUUCCGUCGUCUUCCCUCGUCGCUAUCCACAUUUUAUAGUCACCAUGUCUCACAAAGUUCAAUUGCCCAAACACACAAGACGGGAACAAUAUCUGAUCUCCGUGCGUCUCUCUAUGAAUGAUAGUGAAUCUCACGUCGUAGUUAGCAGGGAAUACCACUUUUAACUCGAAUUUCGUUUCGUCAAGAAUAGAAAUGUCAAGUUUGUGAAGACAUUUCAGCUUCCAGUAAGCAAUAUCUUCAUUAUAAACUGGUGUCACUUUCAGUUUUGAUGAAGGGCAGAAAACACCUUCCGUAUAUAUAGAUUUCACGUGCGCCAUUUUCCAUUCUCCUAUAAGAUCUUCUGUCCUUUCAAUUUUGGUAGUAAAGUCCUCAGCUUCAAGACAUAUUUUUGAACUCCCUUUGAUUACACUGAUGUUUAAUAUAAAUAGCAAAGAGCCAAAUAAUAAACUGCGUAAUGAGUACUUGGAAAUCAUCGUGUUGUGAUGACUGGACUGCAAAUAACCGGAUAGUGUUAUGUUUUAAGUAAGAGGGAGAUAAGCGUAGUAAAGCUCUAUAGUACUGACUAAUGACACAACGGUUGGUGAGGCCGGUCAUCGACCUAAUAAGUUACACAGAAACAAGAUAAUUAAGAAACAGGAUAAUGACUAAAACAAAUAUACGUUUACGAAAAAAAACAGAGAGAGACUCGAAGCCUUUGAAAUGUGGUAUUAGGGCAGGAUGGAAAGAAUAAGUUGGACAAAAAGGGUGACUAAUGAAGAAGUGCUAGAAAGAGUAAUGGAAAGGAGACGAAUAUUGAGAGUUAUUAAGGACAGAAGAGGCAGGAUGAUUGGACACUUAAUAAGACACGACGAAUUUAUUAUAAACGUCGUAGCAGGGAACAUAGAAGAAAAGAGAGGAAGGGGAAGACUAAGACAAGCAGACAUGGAAUAAAUUAAAGAGAAGGCAAACGUCGUGUCUUAUAAGGAAGUCUAAGAAUUGGCCCUUGAUAGACAAGAAUGGAGAAUACUACACCAACAAGAGCGUGGCUCUUAAAUUGAUGAUGAAAAUGUGAUACACUGUAUAUUCCUAAGUAACAUUGAUUCUGCUAUGACAGAAUGUAAUGUCUGGUGUUGUAAUUGUAGGUUUAGUAUGAUCUACUCUGAACUGGUGUAUAUGAAACGAUUGAUAAAGGUGGAAGAAGCAAGAGAAGAGGGUCAGGAUCGAAGCAAAUGGAAUUCCGUAGUCUGCUUACCCCGAAAAUAGGGUGUGAGUUAGUGUAUGUAAUGUACCUAUGUACUAAUUGUAAUAUUUUGACUCAAUUGUGAUUAUUCUAUUGGGUACUGUCCUUGGUUAAAGAUAAAUUAUAAAAUU